rnacentral:rRNA from 1 species
AUUGAACGCUGGCGGCAGGCCUAACACGUGCAAGUCGAGCGGAUGAAGGGAGCUUGCUCCUGGAUUCAGCGGCGGACGGGUGAGUAAUGCCUAGGAAUCUGCCUGGUAGUGGGGGAUAACGUCCGGAAACGGGCGCUAAUACCGCAUACGUCCUGAGGGAGAAAGUGGGGGAUCUUCGGACCUCACGCUAUCAGAUGAGCCUAGGUCGGAUUAGCUAGUUGGUGGGGUAAAGGCCUACCAAGGCGACGAUCCGUAACUGGUCUGAGAGGAUGAUCAGUCACACUGGAACUGAGACACGGUCCAGACUCCUACGGGAGGCAGCAGUGGGGAAUAUUGGACAAUGGGCGAAAGCCUGAUCCAGCCAUGCCGCGUGUGUGAAGAAGGUCUUCGGAUUGUAAAGCACUUUAAGUUGGGAGGAAGGGCAGUAAGUUAAUACCUUGCUGUUUUGACGUUACCAACAGAAUAAGCACUGGCUAACUUCGU